rnacentral:rRNA from 1 species
AUUGAACGCUGGCGGCAGGCCUAACACAUGCAAGUCGAGCGAGCGGCGGACGGGUGAGUAAUGUCUGGGAAACUGCCUGAUGGAGGGGGAUAACUACUGGAAACGGUAGCUAAUACCGCAUACCAUCAGAUGUGCCCAGAUGGGAUUAGCGAGUGGGUGGGGUAACGGCUCACCUAGGCGACGAUCCCUAGCUGGUCUGAGAGGAUGACCAGCCACACUGGAACGGAGACACGGUCCGAACUCGUACGGGAGACAGCGGUGGGGAAUAUUGCAAAAUGGGCGAAAGCCUGAUGCAGACAGGCCGCGGGGGGGAAGAAGGCUUGCGGGUUGUAAGGCACUUUCAGCAGGGAGGCGGUACCCGCAGAAGAAGCACCGGCUAACUCCGUGCCAGCAGCCGCGGUAAUUC